rnacentral:miRNA from 15 species
CGGAAGAAAUAACAGCGAAAGGUUGACAACAAGAGAUUUGAGCACGCAACGGAAACAGCACCCUGUCAUGCCAUUUACCUCCGGCGGGUGCUCACUCUCUUCUGUCAACCUGCUUCGCUUCGCAUCCC